UACAGAGGUCUCAAGCGUUGUUCGGAUUCAUUGGGCGUAAAGAGCUCGUAGGCGGUUUGGCAAGUCGGGUGUGAAAACUCCGGGCUCAACUCGGAGACGCCACUCGAUACUGCCAUGACUCGAGUCCGGUAGGGGAGUGGCGGAAUUCCUGGUGUAGCGGUGAAAUGCGCAGAUAUCAGGAAGAACACCCGUGGCUAAGGCGGCUCUCUAGUACGGUACUGACGCUGAGACGCGAAAGCGUGGGGAGCGAACAGG
rnacentral:rRNA from 1 species